rnacentral:rRNA from 1 species
GACGAACGCUGGCGGCGUGCCUAAUACAUGCAAGUAGAACGCUGAAGGAGGAGCUUGCUUCUCUGGAUGAGUUGCGAACGGGUGAGUAACGCUUAGGUAACCUGCCUGUUAGCGGGGGAUAACUAUUUGAAACGAUAGCUAAUACCGCAUAAGAGUAGAUGUUGCAUGACAUUUGCUUAAUAGGUUCAAUUGCAUCACUACCAGAUGGCCCUGCGUUGUAUUAGCUAGUUGGUGGGUUAACGGCUCACCAAGGCGACGAUACAUAGCCGACCUGAGAGGGUGAGAGGCAACACUGGGACGGAGACACGGCCCAGAAUCCUACGGGAGGCAGAAGUAGGGAAUCUUCGGCAAUGGAAGGAAGGCGGACCGAGCAACGCCGGGUGAGUGAAGAAGGUUUUAGGAUCGUAAAGCUCUGUUGUAAGAGAAGAACGAGUGGGUGAGUGGAAAGUUCACACUGUGACAGUAUCUGACCAGAAAGGGACGGCUAACUACGUG